GCUCCUGUAGUUUAAUGGAUAAAAUUUCAGAUUCCGGUUCUGACGCUAUGGGUUCGAAUCCCUUCGGGAGCA
rnacentral:tRNA from 1 species